CGCUGUCGAUAGCUGGCGCAGAAGGUUUUUGGUGACGACGCAAGUGGAAUAAAGAAUGGCAGUGUUAGCAUUUCUUGCUCUCUCUCUGCUGUUAUCCGCAGCCACGGCGCAGAAUGGGGGCAGCGUGACCUGCCCCUCCUCCUGCUCCGACCGGUUCCGUCCCGUGUGCGGCACCGACAACAAGGCGUACGGAAACGAGUGUAAACUUCUGCAGGAGGCCUGUCGGCGCCCCGGCCCGGAAAAAAAGAACGAGGACCCGG
rnacentral:lncRNA from 1 species